UGCUUUCUUUUUUUUUUUCUUCGAUUCAAAUAUGCUUUAACAACAACGAGAAUUAACGAGGAAGUGAUUAUAAAUUAAAAAUUAAAUUAAAAAAAAGAGUUAUAAUUUUCUUCUUCUGCAACAAAUUUUAAGAAGAGAAAUUUUGAAAGGAGAAAAAUACCAGAACAUUACACAUUUUCACCGCUUGAAAAAAAUGAUACGUUUCCCCUGUUGAUUCACGUUUCCUUCCUUCCUUCUUUUCCUUAGUAAGUAAACAUACCAUACGUCCGUUUGUAAAGGUCGGUUUCCAAUUGUGAUUCGUCCACAAGUUGGAAACGCGUCCAACGAAGGAGAACAGCGAUGCGUAUUUCAACCCGCUCAGGCGAUACGACGGAUUCCUUAUUAUUACCAAAGAACAAAAUUCUAUGCCUCGAGAGAAUUUCUCGCUGGCCUAAGUCCUUUUUUUUUUUCCACCCUUUUUUUCCACUUAUCGAAUCGAUAUGAACGAAGAAGUUUCUCGUCGCUCUAUUAUCGUCCCUAUGGGACCAUUCUCGCGGCAAAUAAAACACGAGUUUUAUCAGGUUCUCCUGUGAGCAAAACGGCUCGUGGAUGUUCGAAGAAAUCGAUGAUAAUAAAUAUAACGAAGUUCCAAUUAAAGUUUCCAACGUGGUAUUAGAAAGAAAUGGACCUCGAAUAUAAAAUUUUUUAAAUAUUUAUUCAUUUAGUUUCCAAAUAGAUAAAUCGAUGAAAAUUUAUAUCGAAUUUUGUGAAUUGUAUCGAAUCAUACAGCGAUUAAUUCAACCAUUUUCGCUGCAGAUGUCGCGACGUGUCAGACGAUCUCAGUAUCUCGGCAGUAUCUUAACCUUCAAUUGCUUCAAAUGUGAAAAAGUGUGAAUUUUCGAUUCAUAACUAAAUAUCUAUAUACGGAAUCUUCGAAGCUCGAGAACCAGUCGACAUUUACGGAUGACAUAUCGUCGACGUACACGUCCGUCCGUUAAUUAAUCCCAAGGGUUUUCUUUACAAGCCUCGAUUUUCAAAUUGCCGUAGAAAAUGGUCGAUUGAAUUUCCGCGAAGGCCUUGCAAUUUCUUCCGGAAUAUGCCGUGUUCGAGGACCUCUUCCAAGAGCACUUGCCCAUGCCGAUUGUGAUUUUUCUCUUUUCACUUGACUUUUUAUGGAAAAAAGUGUAUAACAAUUUUCUCGAAUGUAAUUGAAAGCAAGAAAAGGCUUGUCGAAAGGAAGCUUAUCAAGAAAUGUUUCGAAAAAAAAAAAAAGAAAAAUGAAAUCAAUUCAUCCGAGAUAAAAUUUAAUUGAUAAAAUUGGCAAUUUUGUAUCAAUGAUAAUUUAAAAUGAAUUGAAAAAUACAAGAGAAAAUAUUGUAUCGUUAUAAAAGAAUAUAAAAAUAUCUUUUUUAAAAGAUGCAUUGUUUAAAUAUUUUUUAUUCUUCUUAGCAAGUAUAUAUUAAAAAUUUUUAAUUCUUUAAUAUCUAGAACAGAAAUAAAUAACUAAAAGUAAGAAGAAAAAUGAUAUAAAUAUUUAACGAGAAAUAUACAUAAAACAAAUUUAUAAUAUAGGAAGAGAUUCAAAUCUAUUUGGAAUAUUUUUGACAAAAUGGAUGUUCGAAUUAAAUCGAUCUUAUUUCAUCAACUAUAACUUUUAAUUUAUAAAUUAAUACGAUUAAUACAAAAUAAAAUUAAAAAUAAAAUUUUAAAUACAUCUCGUUACUUCUCCCAUAAUGUAAACAAAAUCAAAAAUUUUUUCAUAUAUUUUAACUAAUUUUUCGAAGAGAUCCUCGACAUCACCAAAUUUCGUUUCCUCGUUUCAAAGUUUUCAUUUUAUAAAUGCGCACAAAGUACUACGUAAAAGUGAUUGUAUCACUUAUUUUUAGGAUUAUAUAUCUUUGUAUCUGAAAUUAACGUGGAACCCGUCGCCUUCGACUGCAACGCCAUCUCCAACUUUCAAUAGGUAGAAUAUACAUGUAUACAGGAAUACGCAUUCCUAACGUAUUCCUAACGGGAGAUCGUGCGUUAAAAAUCGAUUACAAUGUACAGCGAUAAAAAACGUUACAAUCUGAUACGAUAUACAGAGUAAGUCCACCUUUCGAAGAAGAUAGAUGUACAUAUAGAUCGUUUAAAUAAACGCGAGAAAAGUACAGGAGUAUACUUAUGAUUUAAAGUUAAUCUGCGGUUUCAGCCUUUCAGUUUCGAGGGAAUGAAAUGGAAGAAUGAAAUCAAUCAAGAUUUACAAUUCGAAUCAUUAAUAACGAGUAAUUAAAUAAUUUCUAAAGAUAAAAAUACGAAGCAGUAAUUAUCUCGAAUUAUUUUUCAAGGAAUUUUGAAAAUCAUUUUUCUUAAAAUCCUUUUAAGAUUCCAGGCAAUUCAAAUACUGUGAUAAUUACUGGUUCAUUUUUUUAAACGUAUACAGGAUGUUUCAAAAACUUUGAAAGCUUCGAAGAGUAGUAAAAGAAAAUUUUUUUUAAAUAUCAUCGUUGUAAAACAUCCUAUAUAUCGUAAAAAAAAAUAUUGUGCAUUGAACCGAUCGAUGUAUCGAUCGAUAGAAAAUUAGAAAAAUUAAACCGUUCCAUCUUCCGUUGAAUAAAUAUUAUCGAUACAAUUCCCAAUUUCAUCGUGAUCGUCGCAAGUGGAAACGCUGUUACGUGUUGAGUUAAACGAAAGCAAUUGGUUCCCUUCAACACCGAAAAGCUACACGGAAUUACGAAACACAUCGCAAAAGGCACUUUCACUCAACAUUCAAUCGAACCAAAUCGCUUCGUUUAAUUUUCUCUCUUCUUUUUUUAUUUUUAUUUUUUAUUUUUUAUUUUUUUUUUUUUCCUUUUUAAAGUUCACUUCUCUCACAACUCAAUUUACAUUUUUCCCUAUCUUUAACUUCUUCUCUCAUAUUUUCAUACGUACUUUGUCGCUUUUUCUCGCUCUCAUUCUCUUCCAGCUUUGCAAGAGCAUACAAAAAGUUGGAAUCGCGCAAAAUGCAAAAAGUGGAGACACCACUUAUUUCUUCUUUCAUUCAUAUGAUUUUCUUUGGCUGUUCUUUUUUUUUUUUUUUUUUUUUUUCUUCUUAUUUUCCUCUCCUCCCUUUUUUUUCUUCUAGUUUUCUCCUCUUAAUAAAUACACGGUGUCCCAAUUUAAAAAAGGUAGAGAUAUAUAAUAAUAUAAUAUAUAUAUACAGAGUAAGAUUCCUCGAAAGAACAUUAUUCACUUUUUCUCGGUAUGAGAUUUAAUUAAUUAAUUAAUUAAUUAAUUAAUUUUUUCAUUGGAUCACAGAAUGAUAGCGCCCGAGCGUGGCAAUCUCUUCUUGAAGACGUUUCGAAAACGACCUGCCUAUAUGAAUACACAUAGAAAAUCUUGCUGUUCGUGAAAAAAAAAA
rnacentral:lncRNA from 1 species